CCGGCGUUGUCGGUGGACUGCUUGCCCAUGCUGAAGUAGCCCGGGUAGCUCUGCAACGACGUGCUCGCUGAGCACCCGAUGUCUCUGCAACAACAACAUUUUCUUGUGUCAGUUCAUCACAGCUUGUCAGGUAGCAUCAUUGGCUGCUGCGCCUCUGCGCCGCCGCCGCCAUGGAACCACGAUGAAGUGUUCGGGUCACCUGUUAGUCCUAGUGGGAGCUUCAUGUCGUUCUGGAACUGAAUUUGGCAAAGAACAAUGCUUUGAUCAGAUGUCUGAGCCCGAAACCUGCUAGUGCACAUCUGAAUUCUGAAACUCUGAAGCUGAAACUUCUUACCUGAGCAGCUGCACACUGUAGGCUCAUCAGAUGCUGCUUUGCAAAGUUCUCCUAUAGAGAUACAUACAAGUCACAAAAUGGAAUCAUUUGGAGUAAUAAGUAUUUGUAUUACUGAAAAUAAUUAAUUGACAUUAACAUUGCAGAUAUUAUUAUA